GAUGAACGCUAGCGGCAGGCCUAACACAUGCAAGUCGAGGGGGAGGUUACUUUCGGGUAACUGAGACCGGCGUACGGGUGCGUAACGCGUAUACAAUCUGCCUUUCACUGGGGGAUAGCCCGAAGAAAUUUGGAUUAAUACCCCAUAGUAUAGUAAUACGGCAUCGUGAUGCUAUUAAAGCUUAGGUGGUGAAAGAUGAGUAUGCGUUCUAUUAGCUAGUUGGAGAGGUAACGGCUCCCCAAGGCGAUGAUAGAUAGGGGUUCUGAGAGGGAUGUCCCCCACACUGGUACUGAGAUACGGACCAGACUCCUACGGGAGGCAGCAGUGAGGAAUAUUGGACAAUGGUCGGAAGACUGAUCCAGCCAUGCCGCGUGCAGGAUGAAGGUCUUAUGGAUUGUAAACUGCUUUUGUAAGGGAAGAAUAAGGGCUACGCGUAGUUUGAUGACGGUACCUUACGAAUAAGCAUCGGCUAACUCCG
rnacentral:rRNA from 1 species